ACAGCCAGGAGGGUGAGGGGACCCCAGCUUUUGCCACUAUUCAAAGUCCUGGUGGUAAAGCCUGAGCCUGAGCCAGACCUGAAGUUCUGUGCUCUUUCCAAGUGCUCAGAGAAGAGCUUUCCCAGGAUUAGGGAAUCCACGUGAAAGGAUGGGUGAACGGGUUGGGCUUAUAUUCCUCCAGGGGACCCUGCCCCCACCUCCUUCUCUUACCGGUUCAUUUUAUUCCGUUAGUUGAGCUCGUGCUCAACUAUUCAGCAGAAGCAGCUACUGCACAUUUGCCAUAUCUCCCAUAGAAGUUGCUCUGUGGAACUUUCCCAGAUCCUUUUUAUUGAGCUUAUAUCCUUCAGAGGAGGAUGCUCCAUCUGUCCCUCUGUCCCUGCUCAGGUUCGUUGAGGAGCAAGCCUGAGGCUGUGUUUUAUUUCGCUUAAAAAAAAAAAAUUAAAUAUUCUGUAGAAAAAGCGGAACGACUGGAGAGGGCUCCUCUCUGAAUGUCCUCCAGACCCUCACUUUCGCUCUGAGCACCACACACUUAAGCCGGGAGGGUCCAGCAAUUAAGACCAAUUCAACAUUGAAGACAAUGGCUGUCCUGGCAACACUGGCCAGGGAAUGGAACUACGCAUGGGUUUGUCAGAGGCUUUGGUCAAGGCUCAAAAGCCCAACGGUAAAGUGAUGCAGAACAGCGGGGUUUGAGAGCUACUGGCGAAUUGGUCUCAAACCUCUAGAUCCCCAAGGCUGGUUAAGCCCUCAGAGGGGCUGCUAUCAAAUCUCCAGGAGGAGGGGGAUUGACUUUCUGCUGUUCCAGAUCCUCACCUCGGAUCUGGAGGCUAGAGACUUCGGCAGCGAGACCCAGUACUGAGCCAAUUGCAACUCCAGCAACUCCAGCAAAGGGAUUGAAAUACACGUGAGUUCGUCAGAUGCUCUGGUCACAGGGCAUAGGCCCAAAGGUUAAGAUAAGCAGAAGUGCUGGGCCUGUUAGCCUAGGACGGGUUGGUUCCAAACAUCUAGAUCUCGAGGACUAGUUAAACCCCGGGCUGCUAUCCAAUCCCCAGAAGGUAAAGCCUGAUCUUGAGCGGGACCAGGGACUCUGAGCUGUCUUAGGUACUCAUAGAAUAGCUUUCUGAGGUUUAGGGGACCACACGGACCCAUAUUUGGGGAUGGGGAAGGAUAGUGGGCUUAGGUUCCUCCUGGGGACCCUCCUUCAACUCCCUUCUCUUACUGGUUCAUUUUAUCCCCUUCGCUGAGCUCUUACUUUUUCAGUAGGAGCAGCCAGUGCACUUUCGGGAGUUUCUGACAAGCCGCUCUGGGGAGCUUCCUUUUUCCUGAGGUGGAAUUCCUCGUCUGAAGUUGGGGCUCCAUUGCCCCUGAGCGCAGUGGUGGAGGUGCAAGUCGGUGUCUAACUUUUCUUGUGGCCGAAACGGAAAAUCUUUUCCAUUAUAGCGAUGAUUCGGGAUCCAGGACUAGCCAGGAGGACUCGUGGGGGCUCCUCCCAGAGCCUCUUUACCUCCUCCAGACCCUUGUGCUUUUUCAGACGCCGCAGCAGCAGCCACUACAACUUCGGGACUUCUACAGAAGUCGCUCUGGGAGCUUCCCAGAGUCCUUGGUUUGGAGGUCGUAUCCUUCGGCAGCAGCAGGGGCUCCAUGGACCCCGCUGUCCCUGCGCGGGGCGGAGGAGGCGCAAUACUGAAGCUGACUUUUGUUUGGGCUGAAACCGAAAACCGUUUUUCACAUAUGGAAGGGUCUAUUCUCUUUGCCUCCUCCAGACCAGAGACUUAGUCACCACCCAGCGACCGAUUUGGAGGGAUGUCGCUCUGGGGAGUUUCCCCAGCUCCUUGGUUCGGAGGUGGUAUCCUCUGGUGGUGGUCUUCCCCAAAGGGCUAUUAAGUGGCACUUCCAUCAAGAGGGUUAUUUCUACACUCAGUCCAAGAUGUGGAGAAUCUUUGUCUUGAUUAUCGUAGGCAAGUAGAGACAAAAGACCCUGAUACUUUCAUUAAAGCUUUAGGUAGAAGUUGCUGGUUUGGGGCUCCUGAAACUCGGCGAUCUUGUCUCACCUCAACUAUGGAAAUAAUAUGAAUUCGUUGAACUAGCCUUAGAAAGGCGUCCCAAUCUUAAUGUUUCUGGGAGAAUAGACAUUCGGGUGGGGGGGGGGAGGGGAGGCAGCCCAUGUCUGUUAAUCUAUAGCCUCAGUCCAUGAGGGGCAGGAAAAGGUCUGGGAGAACCAUUCAAGUUCAUGUUUGGGGGAGUGGUGCUCACUGAUGAGAACUGGUUCCACCAUAGCAAACAUCCUUCUCCACCUCUAAAAGCAAGGAAGCACAUUGGAGAUGAACCUGUACCCUCUCUACUUGGCACAGCUAUAUGUGAGUUCAUCUUCCACAUACAGUACAAUGAGGAAAAGCAUGUUAUCUUUGCUGAUAACAUAAGCAGCUUCUCACUAGAUGAGAAGUAGUAGCCUUCAUUGAUGAUAUCAUUAGAAAGUGUGGCUUGGCACCUGCUUACAUUUGGUAGAUAUUCUCCAAGAUUUAAAGAAUAUUAAAUGAAAAUCUUUAAGAACAGCUAAGCUCACUAACAGAUGCAACAGUGUGGAAGUUUGGGCUCUUCUCCCAGGCAUUCUUUCUUUGUUGAAAGAUGGGUUCUCUUGGGAGGAUUUUACUCCUCUAGGCCUAAUUUUUAUGUCUCUUUUAGACCAUUAAAAAUUCCCCACCUGAUGAAGAGCCGCCCUCUUCCACUUUUUCAAAAUAUGAAAUUUUUGGAAGUUUUUUCUGGACAUCAAACUUAAAUUUGUUUUAUUGCCUCCUUCAGGCAUCUCACCUUUUGAAGGCAAUGCUAGUGAGUAUAUAGCUGAAAGCAGUGUACUAGUGAGUAGAGCUUGGACGCUCUACUUUUGACUUGGGUUCAAAACUUAUUUCAGACACUUGCUAGCUAUGACUGAGCAAGUCACUUAACCUUUUUAUGCUUCAAUUUUCUCCUCUGUAAAAUGGGGGUGGGGUUGGAUUCAAUGACCCCCAUGUUUCCAAUACUAAACCAAUGAUUUUGUGAUCUAUUGAUUACAACUUCCAACCCUCCACAAACAAUAUCACAAAUUUGCAUAUCAGAGUUGGAUGAGACCUCAGUGUCCAUAUAUCCCCAUCCAUACAGAAAGACACCCCAAUAUAACAUUUAUUAAGCACUCCUCCAAUCUUUGCUUAAAAUCCUUCAAAGGAGGGAAAAUUUACCAUUCCACUUUUGCAAAGCACCAAAUAUUUGUAAGCUUUUUUUUGGAUAUCAAACUUUAGUUUGUUUUAUUGCAACUUUUAUUUUAUUAUGUUUGUGACCUUCAAAAUUGGUGUCAAUCAAGGUUUGAGAUAACAGCAGAGUGGUGAGUUUAGAAUUGAUGAAUUUGUCCUGGAAAGGCAUUUUGUUUUGUUGAGUGGAAAUCAAAUAAGGUGGCAGCUACAACAUUCAUUUUAAACUGUCAUCUAGAACUGAAUGUAAUGCAAUAGAUAUGAACUCACCAAGGCAGCAUACAGAAGGACUUAUGUUCAUGCUUCUCUUAUUUCAACCCAAGUUCAAAUUAGCUUUUUUGAGGCUGCCAUUUCACACUGUUGAGUAUUUUGAGCUUGCAAUCUGUUAAAACCUCAUUUUUAAAAAGACCAUCUGUUCUCUAAUUAUUCCUUCUCCAACUGAAACCCAAGAUUUAAUAUUUAUUACAUUUUAUCUUCUUAGAUUUGGACCAAUCUCUUAACCUCUCAAGAUCUAGCAUGUUAGCAGUAUCUAUGACUACAGAAUAUAAAAAUGACAUCUACAAAAACAUUAAAGAAACUAACACUCAUACAAUGCAUUAAAGUUUGUGGAGUGCUUUACAAAUUUUGCUUCAUUUUUUUCUCACAGGUCUGAGAAGUCAGUAUAAUUCUUAUCCUGUUUUGCACUUGAAGUAACUUAAAAAGUUGGAGGCUGUAACUUGUCCAAGAUCACAUAGAUAAUAAUGUCAUGAAGAUGAAUUUAAAAUUGUUUUCUUGAUUUCAGAUCCAGCUACUCUACCCACUAUGCCACCUAAAUUAUAUUUAAAUAUUUAAAUUAUUUUAUUGAACUAGAAAAAAUAAUAAAAUUCUUUUGGAAAAACAAAAGUUCAAGAAUAUCAAAGGAAGUAAUGAAAAAUGUUAAGGAAUGAGGUCUAGUAUUACUAGGUUACAAACUAUUAUAAAACAGUAAUCACCAAAACUAUCUGCUACUGGCUAAGAAAUAGAAAAGUAGAUCAGUGGACCACAAUAGAAAUACAAAACAGUCAUAAAAGAUUAUAAUAACUUUGUUUGACAAAGGUAAAGAUCCAAUUUUUUGGAAAAAGUUCAGUAUUUGGUAAAAAAUUGUUGGGAAAACUGGAUGGCAAUUUGGCAGAAACUUGAUAUGAACCAAUAUCUUAUACCAUUUACUAAGAUAAGAACAAAAUGUAUACAUGAAGUAGGCAUAAAGGAAGAUAUAAGCAAACUGGAAGAAUAGGGAAAUAUUACCUAUUAAGUUUAUGGAUAAGAAAAGAAUUUAUGAAUAAAGAAUAGAAAGAAUUGUGAAAUGUAAAAUAGAUCAUUUUGAGUACAUUAAAUU